CACGUGGGUAACCUGCCUGACAGUCUGGGAUAACGCUUGGAAACGAGUGCUAAUACCGGAUAAUCUCUUGGAUCGCAUGAUUCGAGAUUGAAAGAAGCUUUUGCUUCACUGUCAGAUGGACCCGCGGCGCAUUAGCUAGUUGGUGAGGUAACGGCUCACCAAGGCGACGAUGCGUAGCCGACCUGAGAGGGUGACCGGCCACACUGGGACUGAGACACGGCCCAGAUUCCUACGGGAGGCAGCAGUAGGGAAUCUUCCGCAAUGGGCGCAAGCCUGACGGAGCAACGCCGCGUGAGUGAUGACGGCUUUCGGGUUGUAAAACUCUGUCUUCUGUGAAGAACAAGCCUGUGAGUAGAAUGCUCAGGCCUUGACGGUAACAGAGGAGGAAGCCCCGGCUAACUACGUGCCAGCAGCCGCGGUAAUACGUAGGGGGCAAGCGUUGUCCGGAAUCACUGGGCGUAAAGCGCGCGCAGGCGGUCAUCUACGUCUGGGGUGAAAGCCCGGAGCUCAACUCCGGGAUUGCCUUGGAUACGGGAUGACUUGAGGAUCGGAGAGGCAAGGGGAAUUCCACGUGUAGCGGUGAAAUGCGUAGAGAUGUGGAGGAACACCUGUGGC
rnacentral:rRNA from 1 species